rnacentral:lncRNA from 1 species
GGAGUGGUGAACAUAACGGACCGGGGGUUGUGGUGACUGAAGGGCCCAGGCAGGACUCUGGAAGCACUGGUAACAGUUUGUCACUUGAUCUGGAUGAACACCAGCGUGUUCCGUUUUGGAAAUCCUUUCAGCUGUACUUACCCUAAGUUUUCAAAAGCCUCUUGGUUUCCAGUAGGUUGUACCUGCCUUUGCGGAUCUCACAGAAUCCGCCCAUUUGUUCAGUUUCUAGGAUCAGGGAACACUUGCCUUCCAUUUUUAUUAUUUCAGGCCUCACACAUGCAAAUCUAACUGGCCAGGACUGACCCAGAAGGAGGGAGAGCUCUGGUCCAUGGGUCUCCCCUCCCCAACUGGCAGGCUUUGGUCAACAGCGCUCAGAAUGAAAGGAAGGUGGUGGUGCUGGCUUUCAAGUCUCCUCCAAAUGCAACUGACCCAGGUCUGCCUGUCCUCCAUUAGCUUUUGCUCGUUGGAGAGGGAUAACACACCGCUAAGAAAAAGACUUGUUCUGAGAGUGAGGACUGCCCCCGGAUUUUGUAACCAGUUGCAACCACCUGAAAGCAGCUCUGGGGAAGAGGUCAUUGAAGAGUCUUUCCAGGUGAGGGCUUUGUCUUAGAUCACCUGCUGUUUUUCAACAAUGAGGAAGACUAAAAUAGUCCCAGCGUUUCUAUUAAAAUGCUCUGUUCUCACUGCUGACAGUAGGUGUAGCAGAACCAAACAAACCUGGGACUCAGUUCAGUUCUGCCCCGAAACCAGGUGGAAAGCGAAGUAAAUGAACUCUGGGGUGGUGUCUCCCAACUCUCACUUCCAGCUCUCCUGUGUUUGUAGACUCUGUGUUCCUAAACAAGGGAAAAUACAGCCACAACCUCCAAAGGACAAGUGCUUAUUCAUUCCUUUAAUUUAUCUUUAUUGAGGAUGUUCCAUGUACAGUGGAAGAAAAAUUGAAAGUGAAUAAAGGAAGCUGAAGAUGUUUAAAGAUAUAGUUGAGAAAUCUAAAGCCUAAUGAAUUGUUUUAGAAGAGGAGUUUAAACAAAAUAGGACUACUCAGGAGGCUGAGGCAGGAGGGUCACUUGAGCCCAAGAGUUCAAGGCUGCAGUGAGCUAUGAUUAUGCUGCUGCACUCCAGCCUGGGCAAUGGGGCAAGACCCUGUA